AGAGUUUGAUCCUGCCUCAGAUUGAACGCUGGCGGCAUGCUUUACACAUGCAAGUCGAACGGCAGCACGGGGGCAACCCUGGUGGCGAGUGGCGAACGGGUGAGUAAUACAUCGGAACGUAUCCUUGAGUGGGGGAUAACGCAGCGAAAGUUGUGCUAAUACCGCAUGAGCUCUGAGGAGGAAAGUGGGGGACUGUAAGGCCUCUCGCUGAAGGGGCGGCCGAUGUCCGAUUAGCUAGUUGGUGAGGUAAAGGCUCACCAAGGCUUCGAUCGGUAGCUGGUCUGAGAGGAUGAUCAGCCACACUGGGACUGAGACACGGCCCAGACUCCUACGGGAGGCAGCAGUGGGGAAUUUUGGACAAUGGGGGCAACCCUGAUCCAGCCAUGCCGCGUGAGUGAAGAAGGCCUUCGGGUUGUAAAGCUCUUUCGUGAGGGAAGAAACGGCCAUAGUGAAUAGCUGUGGUUACUGACGGUACCUCAAGAAGAAGCACCGGCUAAUUACGUGCCAGCCGCCGCGGU
rnacentral:rRNA from 1 species